rnacentral:rRNA from 1 species
UACGUAGGGUGCGAGCGUUAAUCGGAAUUACUGGGCGUAAAGCGUGCGCAGGCGGUGAUGUAAGACCGAUGUGAAAUCCCCGGGCUUAACCUGGGAACUGCAUUGGUGACUGCAUUGCUGGAGUAUGGCAGAGGGGGGUGGAAUUCCACGUGUAGCAGUGAAAUGCGUAGAGAUGUGGAGGAACCCCAGAGGCGAAGGCGGCGCCCUGGCUCGCAACUGACGCUCAGACACGACAGCAUGGGGAGCGAACGGG